AUUGAACGCUGGCGGCAGGCCUAACACAUGCAAGUCGAGCGAGCGGCGGACGGGUGAGUAAUGUAUGGGGACUGCCCGAUAGAGGGGGAUAACUCCUGGAAACGGUAGCUAAUACCGCAUACUAUCGGAUAACCCAUAUGGGAUUAGCUAGUAGGUGGGGGAAUGGCUUACCUAGGCGACGAUCCCUAGCGGGUCUGAGAGGAUGAUCAUCCACAAUGGAACUGAGACACGGCCCAGAUUCCUACGGAGGAAGCAGUGGGGAAUAUUGCACAAUGGGCGCAAGCCUGAUGCAGCCAUGCCGCGUGGAUGAAGAAGGCCUUAGGGUUGUAAAGUACUUUCAGUCGGGAGGCGUUACCUGCAGAAGAAGCACCGGCUAACUCCGUGCCAGCAGCCGCGGUAAUUC
rnacentral:rRNA from 1 species